GGCCGUUUGGUCUAGUGGUAUGAUUCUCGCUUAGGGUGCGAGAGGUCCCGGGUUCAAUUCCCGGAACGGCCC